AUUGAACGCUGGCGGAAUGCUUUACACAUGCAAGUCGAGCGGCAGCGCGGCCUUCGGGCUGGCGGCGAGCGGCGAACGGGUGAGUAAUGCAUCGGAACAUGCCCAGUCGUGGGGGAUAACACUUCGAAAGAAGUGCUAAUACCGCAUACGUCCUGAGGGGGAAAGCGGGGGAUCGCAAGACCUCGCGCGAUUGGAGUGGCCGAUGUCAGAUUAGCUAGUUGGUGGGGUAAAGGCCUACCAAGGCGACGAUCUGUAGCUGGUCCGAGAGGAUGAUCAACCACACUGGGACUGAGACACGGCCCAGACUCCUACGGGAGGCAGCAGUGGGGAAUUUUGGACAAUGGGGGCAACCCUGAUCCAGCCAUUCCGCGUGAGUGAAGAAGGCCUUCGGGUUGUAAAGCUCUUUCGGCAGGAACGAAACGGUGGGCUCUAACAUAGUCCGCUAAUGACGGUACCUGGAGAAGAAGCACCGGCUAACUACGUG
rnacentral:rRNA from 1 species